rnacentral:rRNA from 1 species
UGAAUACGAGAUGCUACGGCGUCGAAGCAGUCUAUGUCAUACUUCCAAGAAAAGCUCGCACUGUCAUAAACAAAUAAUGCCUGUACCAUAACCGACACAGGUGGGUAGGUAGAGUAUACUAAGGGGCGCGAGAUAACUCUCUCUAAGGAACUCGGCAAAAUGACUCCGUAACUUCGGGAGAAGGAGUGCCUUAUUUAUAAGGUUGCAAUAACAAGAUCCAAGCAACUGUUUAUCAAAAACACAGGUCUCCGCUAAGUCGUAAGACGAUGUAUGGGGGCUGACGCCUGCCCAGUGCCAGAAGGUUAAAGAAGUUGGUUAGCAUUCGCGAAGCUGAUAACUGAAGCCCUGGUGAACGGCGGCCGUAACAAUAACGGUCCUAAGGUAGCGAAAUUCCUUGUCGGGUAAGUUCCGACCCGCACGAAAGGCGUAAUGAUUUGGAUACUGUCUCGGAGAGGGGCUCGGUGAAAUAGACUUGUCUGUGAAGAUGCGGACUACCUGCACCAGGACAGAAAGACCCUAUGAAGCUUUACUGUAACUUGAGAUUGAAAUUGGACUUUACUUGCGCAGUAUAGGUGGGAGGCGUUGAUAAUAUUCUUGCGGGAUUAUUUGAGCCAUCAGUGAGAUACCACUCUUGUAAUGUUAGAUUUCUAACUUUGUAUCAUUAUCUGGUCAAAGGACAGUUUCAGGCGGGCAGUUUGACUGGGGCGGUCGCCUCCUAAACGGUAACGGAGGCGCACAAAGGUUUCCUCUGAACGGGUAGAAAUCGUAUCUAGAGUGUAAAGGCAUAAGGAAGCUUGACUGUGAGACCUACAAGUCGAGCAGGGACGAAAGUCGGUCUUAGUGAUCUGACGGUGCUGAGUGGAAAGGCCGUCACUCAACGGAUAAAAGUUACUCUAAGGAUAACAGGCUGAUCUCCCCCAAGAGUUCACAUCGACGGGGAGGUUUGGCACCUCGAUGUCGGCUCAUCGCAUCCUGGGGCGGUAGUACGUCCCAAGGGUUGGGCUGUUCGCCCAUGAAAGCGGUACGCGAGCUGGGUUCAUAACGUCGUGAGACAGUUCGGUCCAUAUCCGGUGUAGGCGUUAGAAUAUUGAGAGGAGCCUUCUUUAGUACGAGAGGACCGAGAAGGACAUACCUCUGGUGUACCAGUUAUCGUGCCAACGGUAAACGCUGGGUAGCUAUGUAUGGAGUGGAUAACCGCUGAAAGCAUCUAAGUGGGAAGCCCACCUCAAGAUAAGUAUUCUC